CAGGUCAGUGUGACUUUUACUUGGGGCGGGAGAAGUUCCUGCCUCUUAUGUACUCCUUAGCGUGCUCCAGAGGCAACUCUCUCGUGCCUGUCUUCAGCAGAAGGAUCAUGAUGAUGUUUGAGUCCGGGAUCAUCAGUCAAUGGAUAAAAACUACAAUCCCAAACUUCACUACCUGUGACCACGUGCCAACCAAGAUAGUAGUCAAAGCCUCACUGUCUGUUACAGAUAUCUGGGGAAUGUUCUUCCUGUUGGCUUGUGGCCUCGCUCUCAGUCUGCUCGUCCUGUGCCUGGAGCUCCUCUAUAUCCAUGCUCACUAGUGACACAAGAAUGUUCAUCUUGUACCUUGAGCUCCUGUACAACUAUGCUCACCAGUGACACAAGAAUGUUCAUCUUGUACCUAGAGCUCCUGUACAACUAUGCUCACCAUUGACACAAGAAUGUUCAUCUUGUACCUAGAGCUCCUGUACAACUAUGCUCACCAAUGACACAAUAAAAGCAAGGAACGAGAACAUCCUCCCCAGCAACGUGUUCACAUUAUAUUAACCUAAUAU